CCUAACACAUGCAAGUCGAACGGUAACAGGAAGAAGCUUGCUUCUUUGCUGACGAGUGGCGGACGGGUGAGUAAUGUCUGGGAAACUGCCUGAUGGAGGGGGAUAACUACUGGAAACGGUAGCUAAUACCGCAUAACGUCGCAAGACCAAAGAGGGGGACCUUCGGGCCUCUUGCCAUCGGAUGUGCCCAGAUGGGAUUAGCUAGUAGGUGGGGUAACGGCUCACCUAGGCGACGAUCCCUAGCUGGUCUGAGAGGAUGACCAGCCACACUGGAACUGAGACACGGUCCAGACCCCUACGGGAGGCAGCAGUGGGGAAUAUUGCACAAUGGGCGCAAGCCUGAUGCAGCCAUGCCGCGUGUAUGAAGAA
rnacentral:rRNA from 1 species